ensembl:snoRNA
UCCCAUAGUGUUGAGUUAGGUUCAGGGCAGCUUCCCUGUUCCGUUAAUUAAGCUUUGGAACACUGAAAUACAGGCUAAGGAGGAUGACUGGGUAGAAAACGCUAGUUUACCCAAGUACUUCUCCAUCUACAACA